UUUAUGUCAAGGGGCUGAUGAGAAUUUCACCUAAACAUGUGGCCUUGGAGGAAAAUAACAAAACAAAAGGAUCCAUGUUCAACGCACCAUUAUUAUCACACAUCAACAUUAUGCCAGCACCAUUAUUUUCAAUUACACGGUGAAAAUGUAACAGCAAAAACAAAAUAACAGCACACUCUCGUGGAUAAUAUUCGGAACAAGAAAAAUUUCAAAUCAUCACUCAAACAGCAACAACAUGAUCAUCCCUGGCUAAACCCUUCAAGAUCUUCCGGCCACCAUGGCUACUCGUACCCGAACAAUUAUCUCGAAUUGCGGUCAGCUCAUACGGUGAUCGAUCAAGUGCAAUCCAUUGCUCGAUGGUGAAUAAUUGUUGCGCACAAGGAAUAUGCGCGCCGGUGGUUGUCACCUCAAUGUAGUUACAAUACCAUCCGUGACCUGAUCCUGUUCCAUCAGAUGUUAUGUUCAGUUUACAGGCCGGUCCCGGAAGACACGGGCCUUUUCCGCUGAAGAUAUCGAGAUUGCCUCGUUCGAAAUAGUUGUAAUCAGGUCCCAUGAGUCCUCCCCAGGCUUCCAGAUUGUUGAUCCGGACUCCGUACCCUUCUGCGUCGUAGAGUGUCAGUGUCAUUAUCGAAUCCGUUCCCCCUUUGAUCACCGAGCCUGUCCGGACGUAGACCGUGUAUACGCAUUCAUCGUCCUGUCAUGAUAUUCAUCAAUAUAAUUUACAAGAGCAAAACAUAUCGGAUAAACGGAUUAUCAUAACUUUGGAGGAUUGAUUAUAUUAAUUAAAUUUCUUAUGAGACGAUGAGUGUAUGAGCGUGUUUAAUUAUAGAAAGAUUAGAGAAACGAAGUAUCGGAAUGUAACGAAUUAGCAAAAAGUGAUUAAUUU
rnacentral:lncRNA from 1 species